AUUCAUAUAGUUUAUAAAACAUUUUAUUUUCGUUAAAAAAAAGGAUUAUUCCUAUGAAUU
rnacentral:tRNA from 1 species